GCGACCAUAGCUCAACUGGAUAGAGUACCUGGCUACGAACCAGGCGGUUGGAGGUUCGAGUCCUCCUGGUCGCG
rnacentral:tRNA from 1 species